UUAAAUUUCAUAAAAAAAUAGCACAUGUAAGUAAUGAAAGAUUAAUUAUCACAUUCCACUCUUAAGAAAUGUCAUUUAUUUUCUGCGUUUCUUUUUUAGAUCACGGAAUAUAAUAAAACGUGUAAGAACGAUUAAUUUAAUUAUUCUCCAAUUCCAAAAAUAUAUUUUGGCGUAUAAAUAAAGAGCAGAUAAUUGUGACGAUUAUUCGGUGUCAAAUUGAAUCGACAAGUUCAUGGUCACGGCAGAUCCAGUGCCACGAGCCACGAGAAAAGAGAAACAGGUAUCGAAAACGGUACCGGACACGAACAGUGCGUACGGCAGGUGGAUGACGCAAGCGGGAUGACUUUACUCGUGGUUAUCCCUUCCCAAAAGUAAUAUUUCUUUCUCCCAGAAAGACAUUUUGCAGCUGACAUCUUUCUAUCUUCCAAACUCCCUCAUUUGCGAAUCUCUGAUGUCGAUGAUUUCAAUAGACAGAUAUGUAUAAUCUUUACACAAAUUAUUUUGUGUUUCAAUAUAUUUAAAUUAAGAUCAUGUUAUAAUGUUUCAUGUUACUUAUAUUGGCAAUGUUUUAGCUUAGUCAUGAUUACAUUUUAUACUUCAUUCCAUUGUCGUUGAUACAACUAUCCCGAAUAAUUCAAGAUAAUCAAAAAAGGAAAAAAAUAUGAAAAUCUAUUAAUAGAUUUUUCCAAGAGCUAAAGCAUCGAUGACGACACACUGAUCGAAUAUCGCGCACCAUGUCUCCCAGAAUUUAUUGUUUCGCUAUCGAGCCGUCCACGAUCUACUUUGAUAAUUACGUACCGUGUAAAACGAUAUUAAAGGGAUAGCGUUUCACGAGCGUAGCAGGUGAUAAGUAGGUUGCUACCCCAUGAAUUUAUGCGAACUUCGUGAGCCACGUUCUUACUCGUUAUUAAUCGCGCGUACGUGUAUUGCGCUUGGUGAAUGAUCACCAUAAUCUAUCCGUUCGAUGAUACGAUUCGAGAAAUCGGGCCUCGUUCCGAUUUCUUUCAAUGUUCCCGCGCUAUCUGUUAUCGAUCACCUUGGCCAAUUACGUAUAUCGGCCCAAUUUCUCGAUAAUGAUGGCUCGAUAUUGGUUUUCAAUAUUGACGACGUGGCCGUGCACGUCAACCGCCAUGGGAGAAGGAAUACCCAAGGAAUAUCCAUGACGUUGCAUCGUCAAAAUCAAACCUGUUUCUCGACCACCCGGUAUACAGAUAUGAUUAACCUUUCAGCGCCGUUAGCUCGUUCGGGUUGUGUAUUCGCUUCGAUCAAUGGUGCCACCGAGCGCAACACACGAAUCGCAGAAACGAACAUGGAAAAAUCACGGCGAUUAUUCCGAGGAUUAUGUUAGGUCGUUGACUCGCUUGCCUCUUCCGGUAAAUAUCCUUCCUGAUAGUGGCUGUGUGUAAUCGAUAGAAUAAUUCGACUGUGUGUGCUUCUCACGAUGGUAAAAUAUUCAUUCCCAUGGCAAUAAAAUGUCGGCGCGUAAUAAGAAAUAACAAUUUAAGGGACGAGUUUUGUGAAAGGGUUUAGCUGCGAGCAGAUCGUUUUCAACAAGCUUUUCAAACCAGUAUUCAUUCGUUUUUUCACUAUUUGGGAUUACGAAUGUAAGAUAUCGGAGUCGAUUAUCUAGAAAGCAAUUUCGCAAUUAGGGAUUGGAAAUAAUUAUGCGAGGAUUCGAAAUUGAAAUUGAACAAUGUAACAAUUGAAUGAUAGAUCCGGGAAUAAGGUGUAAAGCGGAUUAACAAGAUAAAAAAGAUAGAUAUCUUCAUGAUCUUCGGUUAUUUUGUCGCGAAGAGACAAGCCGAAUAAACUUAACAGUAUUCUUCCCCUUACUGACUGAAAAUUGCUUUUUAGUCUCUCUUCUUCUGCUCACGUUAGAUUUCUUAUACACGUUUCUUACAUUCAACGCUACAUUCUAUCGUAAUAUCUACAAUCUGCGCGCAUUAAAAUGAUCUGCGGGGAUCGUAGAAGCCAUACCUUACCGUUAUUUCAACUUCAACCGAAAUAUGUGUCGCAUACCCUUAUUCCCAGUCGCCAUUCAAUUACGUUAAUCCUGAUGCACAACCGCGCUGUGCACAAACAUUUAUCGCACACUGUAUUAAAUCCACAAUGGAAUCGUUAUCCUUAAACCCAUCACGGGCUAAAACAAGAUAAAUCGUGCGAUUUAUUUCAACGGGGGAUCAAAGGGUCAUCGUGUAUCACAGCCUCGAAACUCGAAGCUCGCGUAGGUGCAUCGUGCAAAGCGCUAAGCGCGGAUAUUUCAAUAGCGCAACAGCCAGUAAACGAAUAUACACGGUCGUGUUGCCCACAGGCUUCGUUGCGGCACAGAAACCUUUCUCUCUUUCUCGUCUCCUCGAACGCAUCUACGUGCCACGGCAUCAUCGUGCAUAUGCAUGCAAUCAAGCGGGAUUAAUUGAUGCAAGUAAUGACGCGUUUAAACGACGAUCGACCAGAUGCACAGGAUAAUCAAUCUGACGCCUCGGUUUUCAGGAUCGCCCGCUUUUUCUUCCUCAAAAAAAAAACGACAAUGGGGUGGAUAUUUCCUGAAUUUAAUCAUAUAGCUUCAACUCAUUAUACAUUUCUAACGAUCCAUCAAUUUGUUUCAGAUAUAUGAAUUGAUAAAUUAAUCCAACUUUAUAAGAGAGAAAAUAUGGCAAGAUGGAAGCUGUGAGAUCCAACAAAGUAUUUUUUUUCUUUGGAAGUCAAGAUGUAAUUAGAAACUUGGCUCGUUUAAAAAGUACAAUGGUUAAUGUGAUUUGAUCUUGUGUAAUAUCUAGGAAAAAAAAUAUGAAAAAU